rnacentral:rRNA from 1 species
GGGGAGUAUUUACUUCGGUUUUUACUCCUAGUGGCGAACGGGUGAGUAACGCGUUGGUGACCUGCCCCGAAGAGGGGGAUAACUCCGCGAAAGCGGAGCUAAUACCCCAUGUGGUCUUUCAGGUUAGAGUCUGGAUGACUAAAGGAGCAAUCCACUUCGGGAGGGACCUGCGUCCCAUCAGCUAGUUGGUAAGGUAACGGCCUACCAAGGCUAUGACGGGUAGGGGGCCUGAGAGGGUGGCCCCCCACACUGGCACUGAAACACGGGCCAGACACCUACGGGUGGCAGCAGUAGGGAAUAUUGCACAAUGGGCGAAAGCCUGAUGCAGCAACGCCGCGUGCGCGAAGAAGGCCUUCGGGUUGUAAAGCGCUUUUCUGGAGGAAGAGGAAGGACGGUACUCCAGGAAUAAGGAUCGGCUAACUACGUGCCAGCAGCCGCGGUAACACGUAGGAUCCGAGCGUUAUCCGAAUUUACUGGGCGUAAAGCGCGUGUAGGCGGCUGGGUAAGUUGGACGUGAAAGCUCCUGGCUCAACUAGGAGAGGUCGUUCAAAACUGCCUGGCUAGAGGGCGACAGAGGGAGGUGGAAUUCCCGGUGUAGUGGUGAAAUGCGUAGAUAUCGGGAGGAACACCAGUGGCGAGGGCGGCCUCCUGGGUCGCCCCUGACGCUCAGACGCGAAAGCUAGGGGAGCGAACGGGAUUAGAUACCCCGGUAGUCCUAGCUGUAAACGAUGUGAACUUGGCGUUGGUGGGGUCAAAUCCAUCAGUGCCGUAGCUAACGCGAUAAGUUCACCGCCUGGGGAC